rnacentral:lncRNA from 1 species
UUCUGGCAAGUGAAUUGAAGGGAGAGAGCUGCAGGGCGGUUGUAUUAAUCAGGCCUUUGGAACAUGCUGGCACUCUCCAAAAGGAAUACUGCGGCCCCUGCGCCUGGAGGUCGGGGUAGGAACGCUCCGCUGGGGGACAGCUCGGGGGCUCGCCCAGCGCGGGGGACUCGCAUUCCUCGCAGCAGCAGCAGCAGCAGCGCAGUCUGACUCACUGCCCCGGAGGGCAGAGUUCAGCGGCGAAGCCAGCAAAUCCCACACUGCCUUAAAGGCGCAGCACACGGAUCCUGCUUGGGGAGCUGAAAGGUGCGCCUGGACUGGACCCUAUCCUUUCCAGUGGCGUUGUUUACCAUAGGCAUAAAUCCCAGUGCAAAGGCAACAGGUUAUUCACCUUCCACACUUGGGAACAGAGAAACGCACCGG